GGAAGAAAGCUUGCUUUCUUUGCUGGCGACCGGCGCACGGGUGAGUAACACGUAUCCAACCUGCCCUUUACUCGGGGAUAGCCUUUCGAAAGAAAGAUUAAUACCCGAUAGCAUAAUGAUUCCGCAUGGUUUCAUUAUUAAAGGAUUCCGGUAAAGGAUGGGGAUGCGUUCCAUUAGGUUGUUGGUGAGGUAACGGCUCACCAAGCCUUCGAUGGAUAGGGGUUCUGAGAGGAAGGUCCCCCACAUUGGAACUGAGACACGGUCCAAACUCCUACGGGAGGCAGCAGUGAGGAAUAUUGGUCAAUGGGCGCUAGCCUGAACCAGCCAAGUAGCGUGAAGGAUGAAGGCUCUAUGGGUCGUAAACUUCUUUUAUAUAAGAAUAAAGUGCAGUAUGUAUACUGUUUUGUAUGUAUUAUAUGAAUAAGGAUCGGCUAACUCCGUGCCAGCAGCCGCGGUAAUACGGAGGAUCCGAGCGUUAUCCGGAUUUAUUGGGUUUAAAGGGAGCGUAGGUGGACUGGUAAGUCAGUUGUGAAAGUUUGCGGCUCAACCGUAAAAUUGCAGUUGAUACUGUCAGUCUUGAGUACAGUAGAGGUGGGCGGAAUUCGUGGUGUAGCGGUGAAAUGCUUAGAUAUCACGAAGAACUCCGAUUGCGAAGGCAG
rnacentral:rRNA from 1 species